AGUGAACGCUGGCGGCAGGCCUAAUACAUGCAAGUCGAACGGCAGCACAGUGGAGCUUGCUCCAUGGGUGGCGAGUGGCGGACGGGUGAGGAAUACAUGGGAAUCUGCCCAGUCGUGGGGGAUAACGUAGGGAAACUUACGCUAAUACCGCAUGCGCCCUUCGGGGGAAAGCCGGGGACCUUCGGGCCUGGCGCGAUUGGAUGAGCCCAUGUUCGAUUAGCUAGUUGGCGGGGUAAAGGCCCACCAAGGCGACGAUCGAUAGCUGGUCUGAGAGGAUGAUCAGCCACACUGGGACUGAGACACGGCCCAGACUCCUACGGGAGGUAGCAGUAGGGAAUAUUGGACAAUGGGCGCAAGCCUGAUCCAGCCAUGCCGCGUGAGUGAAGAAGGCCCUCGGGUUGUAAAGCUCUUUUGUCCGGGAAGAAAGGCAUCGGGCUAAUACCUCGGUGUUCUGACGGUACCGGAAGAAUAAGCACCGGCUAACUUCGUG
rnacentral:rRNA from 1 species